rnacentral:rRNA from 1 species
CCUACGGGAGGCAGCAGUGAGGAAUAUUGGUCAAUGGGCGCGAGCCUGAACCAGCCAAGUCGCGUGAGGGAAGACGGUCCUAUGGAUUGUAAACCUCUUUUGUCGGGGAGCAAAAGACGCCACGCGUGGCGUUCCGAGAGUACCCGAAGAAAAAGCAUCGGCUAACUCCGUGCCAGCAGCCGCGGUAAUACGGAGGAUGCGAGCGUUAUCCGGAUUUGUUGGGUUUAAAGGGUGCGCAGGCGGAAGAUCAAGUCGGCGGUAAAAUUGAGAGGCUCAACCUCUUCGAGCCGUUGAAACUGGUUUUCUUGAGUGAGUGAGAAGUAUGCGGAAUGCGUGGUGUAGCGGUGAAAUGCAUAGAUAUCACGCAGAACUCUGAUUGCGAAGGCAGCAUACCGGCGCUCAACUGACGCUCAUGCACGAAAGUGUGGGUAUCGAACAGGAUUAGAUACCCUUGUAGUC